rnacentral:rRNA from 1 species
AUUGAACGCUGGCGGCAUGCCUUACACAUGCAAGUCGAACGGUAACAGGUCUUCGGAUGCUGACGAGUGGCGAACGGGUGAGUAAUACAUCGGAACGUGCCUAGUAGUGGGGGAUAACUACUCGAAAGAGUGGCUAAUACUGCAUGAGAUCUACGGAUGAAAGCAGGGGAUCGCAAGACCUUGUGCUACUAGAGCGGCCGAUGGCAGAUUAGGUAGUUGGUGGGAUAAAAGCUUACCAAGCCGACGAUCUGUAGCUGGUCUGAGAGGACGAUCAGCCACACUGGGACUGAGACACGGCCCAGACUCCUACGGGAGGCGGCAGUGGGGAAUUUUGGACAAUGGGCGCAAGCCUGAUCCAGCAAUGCCGCGUGCAGGAUGAAGGCCUUCGGGUUGUAAACUGCUUUUGUACGGAACGAAAAGCCCCGGGUUAAUACCCUGGGGUCAUGACGGUACCGUAAGAAUAAGCACCGGCUAACUACGUGCCAGCCGCCGCCGUAA